rnacentral:piRNA from 1 species
UCCUUGCCUGCUCAGUGGCUGACACU